UGGCAGAGCGUCUCAUCAGUUCGUGAGGUUAACUCCAGAAAAUGUUGAACACAUAUUUUGCUUCUGUUCCAUGUAAGUAUCAAACUUUAACAUGUACUUAGCUUCUUCGCAUAACAUUCUGAAUUAUUUCAAAAUAAAAUUCUAUUUUUCAUUUCUCUGUUUUAUUUGAUAUUUUAAAAUUUUGUCAUUUGCAAAAAGCAAUUUUAAUAAAUCACAUUUGUUUUUUAAGAGUAAAUGUUUGAUUGGUCCAACGAAUAUACUUAUUAUACGUUUAUUUUGCAGCCAUUCUAUUCGUAAUACUAGCACAACCAGAUAUAUGUCUUUGUUCCGGCGAAUGUUUCUUUUUGCAACAAUGUUUGGAAAAUAAAGGUGCAGACUUCACUGGCUUAACGAUUUCUUUCAAUACUCGAUACAGCGCAAGACAAAG
rnacentral:lncRNA from 1 species